UUGUAGGAGCCAGCAAAACAGCGAGGAGAGUUUCACUUUUGGGGAAAGAAGAUAAUGAAAUAUUUCCAGCUUCCACUAAGCUCAAAAGUCGACGCACCGUAGAUAUGCCACUCUGAAUCACAUAACGAAAAGGAUUCGUAGUAGGAUACUGCGAUGCUACACGUGAUGGUGGAUUAAGGGAAGGAUGACCUGAUAAUAGUAUGAGUAGGCGUAACAUGGAAACAAAAAAUCCCUCGCCUAUAUUACACCAAUUUGCCGCUUGUUCCGAUUGUUUAACAUAGGAAACGGUAGCUGCUAAACAAAAAAAUGACUGCUGCAAUAAGGGUAACCUUCGCUCGCAUAUUUUAAGGCAGUGGCGGUUAAAUUUUGGGACAACAGAAGCAAGAAGUAGAAAAAGGGAGUCUAAAAAUUUUGGAUUGUUAUCAAAAAUAGCUUGAAAGUUUGUCUUGUUGUUAGCAUCUUUGGCUAGUAAUUUGGCAUAGGCAUUAAUGGCGGGACCAGCAUAGGGAUGGGUAGCAGGUGUGUAACUAGGUAUAGAGGUUGGAAGGGUGUCAUUUAAAAUAGUUUUACUCUUCUUUCUGUUAAAUGGAGAAAAAGACAAAAUAAAUAGUAAAACGUGACGAGCAACGUCGACAUUCGGUAGAAUGAAAUUUUGAGAAAGUUGACAAAGUACGAUUAAUACAUCUUUAUGCAAAUCCAAGGUAUUUCUUGAUGAACGUAGAAGGGAAGUGGCAUGAA